CCUACGGGAGGCAGCAGUGGGGAAUAUUGCACAAUGGGGGAAACCCUGAUGCAGCGACGCCGCGUGGGUGAAGAAGUAUUUCGGUAUGUAAAGCCCUAUCAGUAGGGAAGAAAAAUGACGGUACCGGACCAAGAAGCACCGGCUCAAUACGAGACAGGAGCCGCGGUAAUACGUAAGGUGCAAGGGUUAUCCGGAGUUAGUGGGUGUAAAGGGAGUGCAGGCGGCACGAUAAGCCUGGUGUGAAAAUCCGGGGGCUAAACGCCGCAGUGCAGUGGAAACUGGCGUGCUUGAGUACCCGAGGGGCAUGCGGAAUGCGUGGUGUAGCGGUGAAAUGCGUAGAUAUCACGAAGAACACCGAUUGCGAAGGCAGCCUACUGG
rnacentral:rRNA from 1 species